AUCAGACUAGGUCCAUUUUUGUGUGAUCUCAGGAUGAAGAUUCAUCGGACUGCGAUUUUGACUCUAGGAGAUAAUUCAUCAGACUAGGUCCAUUUUUGUGAUCCCGACUUUCUUAAUUUUCCAAAUUCCAACUUCUAUUCUUUUCAAAUUCUGCCUUCCUUUCUUGUUCCCAAAUUAUGCCUUCAUUUCUUUCUUUUUUUUCGACUUCUGACUUCCCCUUCUUUAAAUUAUGCCUUCCUUUCUUUCUCCUCAAAUUCUACCUUCAUCUUUUUCCAAAUUAUGCCUUCCUUUCGUUUUUCCAACUUCUGCCUUUAUCUUAGGUGAAAGAUUCAUCAGACUAAGAUUUUUAUCUUAGGUGAAAGAUUUAACAGACUAAGAUUUCUUUAUCUUAGGUGAAAGAUUCAACAGACUAAGAUUUCUUUAUCUUAGGUGAAAAAUUCAACAGACUAAGAUUUUUAUCUUUUAACCAUUUUCCUUCAAAAUUUG
rnacentral:lncRNA from 1 species